UUAUUUUCUUCUUUAUAUUGAUUUAUUUUCUUAAUUAUUAAAAGUCCUAAAAAGUCUUAAUAUGAAUACAAAUAGAUUUUCUGGAACCAUUUAUAGCUGAGAGUAUAUACCUUUAAGAGGAAAAAUUUGAUUCUUGAAUCAAGUCUGCUUUUUCCUUUCUCACUCUUGUAGAGUUUAUAGGGGAAAUAAGAAUUCCCAAAACUGCUUUAAAAAGCCAGGCAAAAGAUUAAAAUAAGUUCUUGGGGAGGAAUAUGUAAGUCAAAAAGAAGGGGAAGGGGAGAGAAAAUUUGACAAAUUUAUUUGCGUUUAUACUAUUGGAAAAAGUAAAUGGCUACAUUUAUAGUUUAAAUGAAAAUUUGCAUGAGUUCAAACUAUAUAUAAACGUCCAUUUCUUAUACACAUUCUAAGGUAUAGUAAUUUUUUUCAAUGUGUAACUCAAAUACCAUAUUAAUUAAAAGCACAGUUAAAGCUAAUUCCUUCAGAGUAGGCUUGGUUUCAAGUACGGUCUUUGAAGUUAGAGGCAUUCUGAUGAUUUUUAAAUAAAUUAUUAGAUGCAGUAGAAUACAUGUUAAAAAUAAUUACGUUUGUAUAAAUUUGUACUUUUUAAAAAACAUGUACAUGCCCUCCAUAUAAUUUUACCCUGACAAUAAUUCUGUUAACCAGGUAGAGGAAGUAUUAUCAUCAUUUAAUUGAUGAGAAAAUUGAGACCCAGACAUGAUUAAAUAAAUUACCUGAUGUGAAAACAGUCAGUGGCAGAACCAGAGCCCAAGUCUCCUUACUCCUGGUCUUAUUCUCUAUCUUUUGAGCAACCCCAAAUCAAUUUUGUUUCAUAUAGGAGACAAAUCCUUAUUUGACAUGUUAAUGUACAGCACUAAUGAGUUCUUUUAUAUUACAGGAAUAUACUGCAUGGUUUUAUUUAGAAAACUUGACUAAUAAAAUGCUUGCAGAAGCCUUCCUAAUUGAACUCCUAUACAAAGAACAGAAAUACACAAAAUUUUGCAAACCACUUGAGUGUAAGAAGACCUCAAAUAAUGAAAAGGAAACCUGGAAAAAGCAGCUUUUAGAUAAAGACAAUUCAUUUUCCCCUGAGAUGGAAAAUCAAGAAGAGUUUAUGAAAGAAAGUUUAACAGAACAAAGUAAUGAUACAACUCAAAUAAAAUCUGUGAAUGAGAUAACUGUAGCGAAAUGCAAAGGCACACCUCCUCCAGGAAAUGUGUCAGUUGCAUUGCCCAUUCCAAGGAGAAAACAACAUGAUGAAAGACAAUUGGAUCUAUAUCAAUCCUGGUCGUGUACAAGUAUUUGCCAGAAUUAUCCUGAUCUACAGAUUGGAGGUGACCACGUGGGGAACAUGUAUGAUUCAGGCUGCUUUGUGGAACCCACACAUGAUGAUGCUUUUAAUGGUCCCCUUUUACUUUCAGUAGACGUACCACUGGGUCAUUAUCCUGUCAUUGAGCCUGGAGAAAACCUGCCUUCCCCAAAGAUUUUGAAUGGAGAUGAAAUCCGAGAAAAAAGUAUGGUGUUUCAUAAGCAGCCCCUCUCUAAUUCUAUGCUUAAUAUUUAUAUGGAAAAAAAGGUGGAUGAACUCUACAAACAAUUUUUGGAAGAAAAUCUCACCAGGUGCCUCUCUAUAACCAGUCUUAUGACUUCCAAUUUGCUAAUGAACAAUGUAAACCAGAUUAGCCUUCAUAUCUCUCAAGAGCAGAAAAUUGAGGCAUCAAAAGCUCAGGAAGCUCUCCUGCAUUCUUUAGUGCUAAGUAAUCUGCAAAAUGUUUCCUGUGGCAACAGUGCUGAAUUCAGCACUCCUAAUUUACAAAUAUCAAACCAGACAAAUAGAGAACUUGUAUCACAAAUACAGUAGUAACCGACCCUUGGUUAGACUGACUUGAGAGACUGGAAUAACAGUCUUUUCUGGCUUAUGUCACAUCAGGUCUCCUGAUGUGGGUGCAGUUUUUAAGUUACUUGAGAAAUGUUUUGACCCAUGUUACAUCUGAAUUAUUGCAGAAGAAAAUAUAAAAAUGAAGUUUUACAACUGCAUGCUUUAAUUGUUUUAAACAUCUUUGAUGGUUGCCACUUUCAAAUCUGUGUAUUCCGUAUGUGCUUACCUAAUUGCCACUUCUUUUCCAAUUUAAUUACUUCACUCUUUCUAACUCAUCAGAUUGAUUUACCACAAAGGUGGGAUGAGGAGAGGAUUAUUGCACUCCAGUGGUGUGCAAGGACCACCAGAAGCUUUAUGAGACAGGAGCAUUGAUUAAAGACACAUGAGAAGUUCUUAAAUUUAAAUGAUGUUUAAAGGAAAUGUUGAAGGAAAGCUUAAGGAAAAGUGGAGAAUAUGCCAGUGCAUUAUAUAUUGAAACUGGAUCCUUUUGAACUCUCCUGGGACAAGUAUCAACUUUUUUAUAUAUUCAUAUUAUGCCUGGCUGUUUUCAGGGAUGGAAAGAAGAAAAGUAUACAGGUAAAGUGAACAAUGUGCACAAAGAAUCAUCAUCUAGAAAUGAAGAGUCCCUCUUGGCAAAUAUUUACACUUCUCAGAUAAUCUUCAAUCAUGAUCCUGGCUUAGGAUAAAUGCCAACAGGAUGUUAUGAAGACUUUGGAAUCUAAAUGAAAUAAAUUAUCAAAACAUACCUAAAGGAAUGGUGUGAUUUAUUACAGACUUGGAACAAGACCCCAUACUUAACAGCUCACACUUCUCCUGGAAAUAGUGAAAUGAUUGACACGCACUUUAACUUAUGCAAUAAAAUGGUAUGAAUUUCUGUUAUGGAAUUGUUAUGAUUGUAUUAUAUGUUGAUAAGAUUUGUGCAUUAAUAAUCACAUAGUCUACUUCAACUGUCUAUUUGAUCUUUGACUAAAUUUUAUAAAAUGAGUUAACUCAGUGUCCUCACAGCUUCUUUUUGAUCACACAAUCCAAUCUUUGGUUUAUUUUCACCCGCUUCAAAUUUCUAUGAUCUCAUAACAAGUACCCCUGAUUGGUUUUGUUUUCUUCAUCAUCACUUUUUUCCCUGCCAUCUUUUCAAAUAAUCCACCCAACCAAUUUUCAUCAUUCAGACUUUUGAAUCUGAAAAUACAAUGGAUAAGGAUUUUGGAAAAACUGACUUAGAGUCUUGUAGAUAUUGAUAAACUAUGUGUGCAUCGUUUUCUCUAGUGUUAAAUGUGUGCAUAUUAAUACAAGUUACUGAAAUCAUAAAAUGUUGAUGUUAAACUUUAUCUUUUCUAAAGUAAAUAAAAUGCCAU